rnacentral:rRNA from 1 species
AGUGAACGCUGGCGGUAGGCCUAACACAUGCAAGUCGAACGGCAGCACAGUAAGAGCUUGCUCUUACGGGUGGCGAGUGGCGGACGGGUGAGGAAUACAUCGGAAUCUACUUUUUCGUGGGGGAUAACGUAGGGAAACUUACGCUAAUACCGCAUACGACCUACGGGUGAAAGCAGGAGAUCUUCGGACCUUGCGCGAUUGAAUGAGCCGAUGUCGGAUUAGCUAGUUGGCGGGGUAAAGGCCCACCAAGGCGACGAUCCGUAGCUGGUCUGAGAGGAUGAUCAGCCACACUGGAACUGAGACACGGUCCAGACUCCUACGGGAGGCAGCAGUGGGGAAUAUUGGACAAUGGGCGCAAGCCUGAUCCAGCCAUACCGCGUGGGUGAAGAAGGCCUUCGGGUUGUAAAGCCCUUUUGUUGGGAAAGAAAUCCAGCCGGCUAAUACCUGGUUGGGAUGACGGUACCCAAAGAAUAAGCACCGGCUAACUUCGUG